CAGAAAUCUGCUCCCUGUUACCCAACAAUUCAGUGCAUUAAUUCAACUUUUUAUCUCAAAAUCUCCAGCUCAUUCUCUGUUUCAAGCAACAACCACCAACGCCACCAUCAGUCACCACCGCCUCCCUACCACCAUUGCUCACCCCACCUACCUUCAUCGCCGGUAAGAACCCGACCCAAAUACCCCACUCAAACUCCCCUGCUUCCCAGUUUUCGCACCCCACCUCUGCCUUGCACUCCUCUUCGCUCCGCCGCAGGCACUGCCUAGCCACCACCACUGUCGAGAGCCCUCCCAAACACCGCACACCUUCAAGUUCAGUCAGCCAACACCACCCCUUCGCCUUUUCUUCUUCUCACCCUCUUCUGUCUCUCUCUCCUCUCCGCGCGGGCAGCAGCGCCACCCCAUCCCGAACCCACCACCGCAUCCCCUUUUCGCCGGCGUGCUUCUGCGCCGCGUAAGAUCACCGCACAGCUCAUUCCUUCCCUCUUCUUCGUUGGUUCGCCGGCUGCUUGCUCUGUUGCUCUCCCCAUUCGUUCCUGUUUUGUGUGGUUGUGUUCCAGGAACCCACUUCCAAUUAAUUGGGACUUUGGUUUUCCUUAUUGGACCUAUACUAAAAGUGGCCCAAUUCCUAUUUUAGUUAGAAACCGGUCAUUGGAGCUCAGGAAGAACGGUCCAUCGAACGGGACGUAUAAACUACGGUUGAGGUACGAAGAAGAUCAUGGGAUGCCUUAGAGUGAGGAUGCAACCACCAAAUUCACGAUCGAUGUUUAGUAAAGAUAACUAUGUCAUUAGCAAUAAAGGGAUGUAUUAUUUAAAGUCUAAGUUUGAUUUCAUGAUUUGAGUUAGAUUUUAAUAUUAAUGUUUAAUCAGAUGUUAAAAGUAUUUAUUAUUAAAGUUUAUUUAGUAAUUUAAAAAGGUUAUGUCGCCUUGUAUUUCCCACGAGGGAAAUAGGCAUGUGACACUCCAACUAAGCUAGGGUUUUCCGCUGCUAACUAAAGAUAAUUAACCUAAUUUAUGGUGUUUAGAAGUCGGGGCGUUACACUUCGCUUGAGCCAUUUUCAAGUAUUUUAUAGCUGACGAGUCUCGACUCUAUAACCUCCAAAUUACAAGGUGAUUUUGCCUCCUACACCACUAACUUGUGUUGGUAUAAGAUUAAAUUGUAUAACUUGGGUUGGUAUAAGAUUAAAUUGUAUGACUUGUGUUGAUUGGUACUACUCGUAUUAUUAAUGGCCUACGGAGUAUCACGUAUC